rnacentral:rRNA from 1 species
ACAGAGGGUGCGAACGUUGUUCGGAAUCACUGGGCAUAAAGCGCACGUAGGCGGCACCGCAAGUGUGGAGUGAAAUCCCACGGCUUACCCGUGGAACUGCUUGGCAGACUGCGGUGCUAGAGGUUGGUAGGGGAGAGCGGAACUCUUGGUGGAGCGGUGAAAUGCGUAGAUAUCAAGAGGAACACCGGUGGCGAAGGCGGCUCUCUGGUCCAAUCCUGACGCUGAGGUGCGAAAGCUAGGGGAGCAAACGGGA